CAGAAACUGACCCCUGGUGAAGGGCAAAAGCACAGCUGACCAGGUCAGACCAGUGAUUCCCUUUUAACUAUGGCAGUUAUUCAGCUGUUUAUGUGCUAGAGCAGGAGAAUCUUUAAACAUCCACCAUUUUCAACAGUUCAACAGUUCUGGUUGUUAGCCUGUUAGCAGGUCUUUAUACUGUAUUUUAUGACCUAUAAGGUGCUUCAUAUUGUAAGGCGCACUUUCAAUAAAUCUCUAUUUUCUGGUUUAUUUUCAUAAAUAAGGGGCAUCAGAUUAUAAGGCGCAUUUUAAAAGCAACAAUAGUAAGGAACAGGGGUGUCGCACAGUAAUCUACACAGAUAUCUCUCCUGGAAACUGUUUAUUUGGCUUGGCUGGUUUCCAGGACCACUGCCAGUAGGUACUUAAGACCUGACGACAACAAACUGGACUGCUAUUUCUGCUACCUUUAGGCUUUUAGGGUUUCUUGGAUGUUACAGAUAUUAUCUUAAGUACAGCAUGAGUGGAAAAGUAAAAUUUGUGGAAAAGAAGUUCAGCAGCUCCCUGGAUUCCAGUUUUAUG
rnacentral:lncRNA from 1 species